rnacentral:lncRNA from 1 species
CCCUCGGUCUUCCUCCCCCUGCUUGGUCUCCCCUGCCAUUCCUUGAUCUCCCCACACCUCAGUUUCCCCCUUUGUCUCUUAGUUCUCCCCUUUUCCCCUCAGUCUUCCCAUUGUUGACACUCAGUAUCCUCAGGGUCUCAGAAUUGGGAAUCUGAGAUACAGACAUUUGAGCAUUCCUUCAAAUGCUAUUAUGAUGACAAAGUGAAACUGGAG